rnacentral:rRNA from 1 species
UACGUAGGGGGCAAGCGUUGUUCGGAAUUACUGGGCGUAAAGGGCGCGUAGGCGGCCUUCUAAGUCAGACGUGAAAUCCCCCGGCUUAACCUGGGAACUGCGUCUGAUACUGUGCGGCUAGAGUGCGGAAGGGGCAACUGGAAUUCUUGGUGUAGCGGUGAAAUGCGUAGAUAUCAAGAGGAACACCUGCGGCGAAGGCGGGUUGCUGGGCCGACACUGACGCUGAGGCGCGAAAGCCAGGGGAGCGAACGGG